AUACGGAAGGUCCGGGCGUUAUCCGGAUUUAUUGGGUUUAAAGGGAGCGCAGGCGGAGAUGCAAGCGUGACGUCAAAUUUCGGGGCUCAACCCCGUCUCGCGUCGCGAACUGCGUCCCUUGGUUGCGGGAAGGGGAGGCGGAACUCGUGGGGUAGCGGGUAAAUGCAUAGAUAUCACGAAGAACUCCGAUCGCGAAGGCAGCCUUCCGGCCCGUCAACGACGCUCAUGCUCGAAGGUGCGGGUAUCAAACAGGAUUAGAUACCCUGGUAGUCCGCACAGUAAACGAUGGACACCCGCGGUUUGGCCUGUAUGGCUGAGCCGCCAAGCGAAAGCGUUAAGUGUCCCACCUGGGGAGUACGCCGGCAACGGUGAAACUCAAAUGAAUUGACGGGG
rnacentral:rRNA from 1 species